GAUGAACGCUGGCGGCGUGCCUAAUACAUGCAAGUCGAGCGAACAGAUAAGGAGCUUGCUCCUUUGACGUUAGCGGCGGACGGGUGAGUAACACGUGGAUAACCUACCUAUAAGACUGGGAUAACUUCGGGAAACCGGAGCUAAUACCGGAUAACAUAUUGAACCGCAUGGUUCAAUAGUGAAUGGCGGCUUUGCUGUCACUUAUAGAUGGAUCCGCGCCGUAUUAGCUAGUUGGUAAGGUAACGGCUUACCAAGGCAACGAUACGUAGCCGACCUGAGAGGGUGAUCGGCCACACUGGAACUGAGACACGGUCCAGACUCCUACGGGAGGCAGCAGUAGGGAAUCUUCCGCAAUGGGCGAAAGCCUGACGGAGCAACGCCGCGUGAGUGAUGAAGGUCUUCGGAUCGUAAAACUCUGUUAUCAGGGAAGAACAAAUGUGUAAGUAACUGUGCACAUCUUGACGGUACCUGAUCAGAAAGCCACGGCUAACUACGUGCCAGCCGCCGCGGUAA
rnacentral:rRNA from 1 species